GACGAGGGAUCCUAGCGUUGCUCGGAAUCAUUGGGCGUAAAGCGGGUGUAGGUGGCUUGACAAGUCAGGUGUGAAAGCCCAGGGCUCAACCCUGGAAGUGCAUUUGAAACUGUUAAGCUUGAGUGCUAGAGAGGUUAAUAGAAUACCUGGUGUAGUGGUGAAAUACGUAGAUAUCAGGUGGAACACCGGAGGCGAAGGCGGUUAACUGGCUAGACACUGACACUGAGACCCGAAAGUGCGGGGAUCAAAC
rnacentral:rRNA from 1 species